rnacentral:rRNA from 1 species
AGGGGUAACACAUGCAGGUCGAACGGGAGCUCAGGAUGCGGCUGGAUCCUUGGGUUUCGAGUGGCGGCAGGGUGAGAAAUGCAUCGGAAUCCACUCUGUCUUGGGGGAUAACGUAGGGAAACUUACGCUAAUACUCCUCACCACCUACGGGUGGAAGCAGGGGAUCUUCGGACCUUGUGCGAUUGAAUGACCCGAUGUCGGACUAGCUAGUUGGCGUCGUUAAGGCCCACCAACGCGACGAUCCCUAUCUGGUCUGACAGGAUGAUCUGCCACACAGGAACUGAGACACGGUCAAGACCCCGACAGGAGGCAGCAGUGGGGAAUAUUGGACAAUGGGCGCAAGCCACAGCCCGCCAUACCGCAUGCGUGAACAAGGAUUGCGCCUUGUAAAGCCCUUUUGUUGAGAAAGAAAUGCAACUGCUUCAUAACCAGAUGGGAUGACCGUACCCAAAGAAUAACCACAGGCUAACUUCGUGCCACCAGCCGCGGUAAUACGAAGGCGGUGCGAACGUUGCUCGUAAUUACUGGGCGCAAAGCGUGCGUACGUGGUCGUCUAACUCCGUUGUGAAAGCCCUCGGCUCAACCUGGGAACUGCAAUGGAUACUGGGCGACUAGAAUGUGGUAGAGGGUAGCGGAAUUCCUGGUGUAGCAGUGAAAUGCGUAGAGAUCAGGAGGAACAUCCAUGGCGAAGGCAGCUACCUGGACCAACAUUGACACUGAAGCACGAAAGCGUGGGGGAGCAAACAGGAUUAGAUACCCUGGUAGUCCACGCCCUAAAAGAUGCGACACUGGAUGUUGGGUGCAAUUUGGCACCCAGUAUCGAAGAUAACGCGUUAAGUUCGCUGCCUGGGGAGUACGGUCGCAAGACUGAAACUCAAAGGAAUUGACGGGGGCCCGCACAAGCGGUGGAGUAUGUGGUAUAAUUCUGAUGCAACGCGAAGAACGCUUACCUGGCCUUGACAUGUCGAGAACUUGUCCAGAGAUGGAUCGGUGCCUUCGGCAACUCGAACACAGGUGCUGCAUGGCUGUCGUCAGCUCGUGUUUUGAGAUGUUGUGUGAAGUCCCGCAACGAGGGCAACCCCUGUCAUUAGUUGCCAACACAUAAUGGUGGGAACUUUAAGGAGACCGCCGGUGACAAACCGGAGGAAGGUGGGGAUGACGUCAAGUCAUCAUGGCCCUUACGGCCUGGGCUACACACGUGUUACAAUGGUAGGGACAGAGGGCUGCAAGCCGGUGAGGGUAAGCCAAUCCCAGAAACCCUAUCUCAGUCCGGAUUGGAGUCUGCAACUCGACUCCUUGAAGUCGGAAUCGCUAGUAAUCGCAGAUCAGCAGAGCUGCGGUGAAUACGUUCCCGGGCCUUGUACACACCGCCGGACACACCAUGGGAGUUUGUUGCACCAGAAGCAGGUAGCUUAACCUUCGGGAGGGCGAUCCUUGCUCACGGUGCGGC